UUGCUGCCUUUGGGUCUUCCU
rnacentral:misc_RNA from 1 species